CCAUUUGCAUAUGCCUUGUAUAAUCAUCUUCAUUUGACAGAUUCUUUUGGCCUCCAUUUAUCCACCAUGGGACGUCUCUUUCAAUUGUAGAAAAUUAGUGACUUAUAGGUCAUAGAUUCUCAUUAUGCCAUAGUUUUCCAGGUUGUGUACUUCAAUUUAUGGACAAUUUUUCCAUUUAAUUCUCGAUGGGGCCAAGGCAAGUACUUCUUCUUCCAAUUAUAAUGUACACGAAUGUGAAAUGACUAUAUACCGGCAUUGCGGUCUUAGGAAGAUGGUAUUAAAUUUUAAUUUCCAUCUCUUCAGCCACACUUGUUGCAAAUUUAGAGGUAUUCCAACUACUAUUUCAAAACUGAAUUUGUGAUUUUAUGGAGGCUAUAACCUAUUUUAAUAAUUCCCACACAAAAGUGAAUUGGGGCUGCUUUUAUCAAUUUUCAAUUUCUAUUUACUGCUCUCUGUUGAUUCCAAUAUUAUGAGAAGCUCAUUUCAGGUUGUGGAUGGGCUACAAAACUCACUCAUGUCAGAGGAAUACGAUUGGUAAGAGUGCAAGCAAACUGUUCGAUGAAAUGCUUUGCUCUAAAUUAAAGAUUCAUUGAUGUUGGAUCAUGUAAUGGAUGGUCAUAUUAUUACUGCUGAUUCAUCAAGUUUUGUGAAGAAAUUUCUCCCAAUUAUUUAUGAGGCAAACAUAAAAGAAUCUUGCUGGGCCAAAUAUCAAAUCUUGAUUGAUAAAGGAGAUUUCCAUCAUUCCUCGCACUCUAGCUUUUGAAUUUCUUAUAAAUCGAGGCUAGCUCAUGGUUUUCUUAUUAUUAUCAAAGAUGAGCCAUAGCUCAUGGAUAUCUUAUUAUCAAAGAUAGCAUUUUCUAAGCCCUCGUUCUUUGAACAAAAAAGAGAUAGUAUUUUAUAAAUCCUCAUUACUUAAAUAAAGGAAGAGGCA
rnacentral:lncRNA from 1 species